AGCAGCCGCGGUAAUUCCAGCUCCAAUAGCGUAUAUUAAAGUUGUUGCAGUUAAAAAGCUCGUAGUUGAAUUUCGGGAUUGACGUGAUGGUCGUGCCUUAAGGGGUAUGAACUGUCGCAGUUGAUUUCUCACCUUCUGGAGAAGCAUGAUGUCCUUAAUUGGGUGUCAUGUGGAACCAGGACCUUUACCUUGAAAAAAUUAGAGUGUUUAAAGCAGGCAUUUUGCUCGAAUACAUUAGCAUGGAAUAAUAGAAUAGGACGGCAUGGUUCUAUUUUGUUGGUUUCUAGGAUCACCGUAAUGAUUAAUAGGGAUAGUUGGGGGCAUUAGUAUUCAAUUGUCAGAGGUGAAAUUCUUGGAUUUAUUGAAGACUAACUACUGCGAAAGCAUUUGCCAAGGAUGUUUUCAUUAAUCAAGAACGAAAGUUAGGGGAUCGAAGACGAUCAGAUACCGUCGUAGUCUUAACCAUAAACUAUGCCGAC
rnacentral:rRNA from 1 species